GACACAUAACGACACACAUGGCCAUUUCGGUUCAUUCAAAGUAUCCCGGCCUUGAGGUUGGGCCACCUGCUCCAAUAACACAAAACAGUGGGAGGAUCAAGGAACAGCUCUGGUUUUGCUUAAUCAUGAUGGAGAACCAAACCUAGUCUCCAGUCAUCCCUGGCACGGUAGUUUCCAUGGGACCUCGGGGACCAGGCAGUUUAGGAAGGCAACUCUCUCCGCCACUUUCAAACUGUUUGCGGUGGAGUUGGAAAGGGGACGUCAUUCAAAAUGCAGCCUGUGGGGAUUCAUUUUGGGCAGCAGAUCACAGUGCUGAACACAAUAGCUCUCUGUCCUCUGAGCAAGCCUCCGCGGAACCUUGGCUGCUCUGGACCGACAGGGCUCAAGGAAACCAUUACAUAGGACGGAAGGUCCAACCAGCGCCGGGGUUUUACUCCUGCCUAGGAGCCCACUGGAGUCCCUGAACUCCCAAAGAAACGACUCCUUUCAUCCGGGCUGGGGGAAGUGGGCUCUGGUUCUGAUCAGACUCCCCAGCAUUCCUCCACCACAGUACCUCAGUAACAGGGAUGGAGAUGAGAGGUGGUGGAUUCCAGAGAGAAGCACGGAGAGAAACUGUCUUCAACUUGUGGAUCAUAUGUGAGUUCACAGCUAUUGAUCCAGCACCAUGCCUGCCUGCUGCCUUAAUGACCAUGGACUAAUCCUCUGGAACUGUAAGCAAGCCCC